UACGUAGGGUGCGAGCGUUGUCCGGAAUUAUUGGGCGUAAAGAGCUCGUAGGCGGUCUGUCGCGUCGAUCGUGAAAACUUGGGGCUUAACCCUGAGCUUGCGGUCGAUACGGGCAUGACUGGAGUUCGGCAGGGGAGACUGGAAUUCCUGGUGUAGCGGUGAAAUGCGCAGAUAUCAGGAGGAACACCGGUGGCGAAGGCGACUACCUGGCCCAUUCUUGACGCUGAGGCGCGAAAGCUAGGGGAGCGAACGGG
rnacentral:rRNA from 1 species